rnacentral:rRNA from 1 species
GACGAACGCUGGCGGCGUGCUUAACACAUGCAAGUCGAACGAAGUGGCGAACGGGUGAGUAACGCGUAAUCAACCUGCCCUUCAGAGGGGGACAACAGUUGGAAACGACUGCUAAUACCGCAUACUGAAGGAGGGGAUUGCGUCUGAUUAGCUCGGUGGAGGGGUAACGGCCUACCAAGGCGGUGAUCAGUAGCCGGUCUGAAGGGAUGGACGGCCACAUUGGGACUGAGACAAGGGCCCGAACCCUAAGGGAGGGAGCAGUGGGGAAUCUUCCGGAAUGGACGAAAGUCUGACGGAGCAACGGCGCGUGAGUGAUGACGGCCUUCGGGUUGUAAAGCUCUGUUAAUCGGGACGCGGUACCGGAAUAGAAAGCCACGGCUAACUACGUGCCAGCAGCCGCGGUAAUAC